rnacentral:rRNA from 1 species
ACUAAGCGUACACGGUGGAUGCCCUGGCAGUCAGAGGCGAUGAAGGACGUGCUAAUCUGCGAAAAGCGUCGGUAAGGUGAUAUGAACCGUUAUAACCGGCGAUGUCCGAAUGGGGAAACCCAGUGUGAUUCGUCACACUAUCGUUAACUGAAUACAUAGGUUAACGAGGCGAACCGGGGGAACUGAAACAUCUAAGUACCCCGAGGAAAAGAAAUCAACCGAGAUUCCCCCAGUAGCGGCGAGCGAACGGGGAGCAGCCCAGAGUCUGAAUCAGCUUGUGUGUUAGUGGAACGGUCUGGAAAGUCCGACGGUACAGGGUGAUAGUCCCGUACACCAAAAUGCACAGGCUGUGAACUCGAAGAGUAGGGCGGGACACGUGGUAUCCUGUCUGAAUAUGGGGGGACCAUCCUCCAAGGCUAAAUACUCCUGACUGACCGAUAGUGAACCAGUACCGUGAGGGAAAGGCGAAAAGAACCCCGGCGAGGGGAGUGAAAAAGAACCUGAAACCGUGUACGUACAAGCAGUGGGAGCACCUUCGGGUGUGACUGCGUACCUUUUGUAUAAUGGGUCAGCGACUUAUAUUCUGUAGCAAGGUUAACCGUAUAGGGGAGCCGCAGGGAAACCGAGUCUUAACUGGGCGUUAAGUUGCAGGGUAUAGACCCGAAACCCGGUGAUCUAGCCAUGGGCAGGUUGAAGGUUGGGUAACACUAACUGGAGGACCGAACCGACUAAUGUUGAAAAAUUAGCGGAUGACUUGUGGCUGGGGGUGAAAGGCCAAUCAAACCGGGAGAUAGCUGGUUCUCCCCGAAAGCUAUUUAGGUAGCGCCUCGUGAACUCAUCUUCGGGGGUAGAGCACUGUUUCGGCUAGGGGGUCAUCCCGACUUACCAACCCGAUGCAAACUACGAAUACCGAAGAAUGUUAUCACGGGAGACACACGGCGGGUGCUAACGUCCGUCGUGAAGAGGGAAACAACCCAGACCGCCAGCUAAGGUCCCAAAGUCAUGGUUAAGUGGGAAACGAUGUGGGAAGGCACAGACAGCCAGGAUGUUGGCUUAGAAGCAGCCAUCAUUUAAAGAAAGCGUAAUAGCUCACUGGUCGAGUCGGCCUGCGCGGAAGAUGUAACGGGGCUAAACCAUGCACCGAAGCUGCGGCAGCGACACUAUGUGUUGUUGGGUAGGGGAGCGUUCUGUAAGCCUGCGAAGGUGACCUGUGAGGGUUGCUGGAGGUAUCAGAAGUGCGAAUGCUGACAUAAGUAACGAUAAAGCGGGUGAAAAGCCCGCUCGCCGGAAGACCAAGGGUUCCUGUCCAACGUUAAUCGGGGCAGGGUGAGUCGACCCCUAAGGCGAGGCCGAAAGGCGUAGUCGAUGGGAAACAGGUUAAUAUUCCUGUACUUGGUGUUACUGCGAAGGGGGGACGGAGAAGGCUAUGUUAGCCGGGCGACGGUUGUCCCGGUUUAAGCAUGUAGGCUGGUUGUCCAGGCAAAUCCGGAUAAUCAAGGCUGAGGUGUGAUGACGAGGCACUACGGUGCUGAAGUAACAAAUGCCCUGCUUCCAGGAAAAGCCUCUAAGCAUCAGGUAACAUCAAAUCGUACCCCAAACCGACACAGGUGGUCAGGUAGAGAAUACCAAGGCGCUUGAGAGAACUCGGGUGAAGGAACUAGGCAAAAUGGUGCCGUAACUUCGGGAGAAGGCACGCUGGUGUGUAGGUGAAGUCCCUGCGGAUGGAGCUGAGACCAGUCGAAGAUACCAGCUGGCUGCAACUGUUUAUUAAAAACACAGCACUGUGCAAACACGAAAGUGGACGUAUACGGUGUGACGCCUGCCCGGUGCCGGAAGGUUAAUUGAUGGGGUUAUCCGUAAGGAGAAGCUCUUGAUCGAAGCCCCGGUAAACGGCGGCCGUAACUAUAACGGUCCUAAGGUAGCGAAAUUCCUUGUCGGGUAAGUUCCGACCUGCACGAAUGGCGUAAUGAUGGCCAGGCUGUCUCCACCCGAGACUCAGUGAAAUUGAACUCGCUGUGAAGAUGCAGUGUACCCGCGGCAAGACGGAAAGACCCCGUGAACCUUUACUAUAGCUUGACACUGAACAUUGAGCCUUGAUGUGUAGGAUAGGUGGGAGGCUUUGAAGCGUGGACGCCAGUCUGCGUGGAGCCAACCUUGAAAUACCACCCUUUAAUGUUUGAUGUUCUAACGUUGGCCCCUUACCGGGGUUGCGGACAGUGUCUGGUGGGUAGUUUGACUGGGGCGGUCUCCUCCCAAAGCGUAACGGAGGAGCACGAAGGUUAGCUAAUCCUGGUCGGACAUCAGGAGGUUAGUGCAAUGGCAUAAGCUAGCUUGACUGCGAGCGUGACGGCGCGAGCAGGUGCGAAAGCAGGUCAUAGUGAUCCGGUGGUUCUGAAUGGAAGGGCCAUCGCUCAACGGAUAAAAGGUACUCCGGGGAUAACAGGCUGAUACCGCCCAAGAGUUCAUAUCGACGGCGGUGUUUGGCACCUCGAUGUCGGCUCAUCACAUCCUGGGGCUGAAGUAGGUCCCAAGGGUAUGGCUGUUCGCCAUUUAAAGUGGUACGCGAGCUGGGUUUAGAACGUCGUGAGACAGUUCGGUCCCUAUCUGCCGUGGGCGCUGGAGAAUUGAGGGGGGCUGCUCCUAGUACGAGAGGACCGGAGUGGACGCAUCACUGGUGUUCGGGUUGUCAUGCCAAUGGCACUGCCCGGUAGCUAAAUGCGGAAGAGAUAAGUGCUGAAAGCAUCUAAGCACGAAACUUGCCCCGAGAUGAGUUCUCCCUGAGACUUUAAGUCUCCUGAAGGAACGUUGAAGACGACGACGUUGAUAGGCCGGGUGUGUAAGCGCAGCGAUGCGUUGAGCUAACCGGUACUAAUGAACCGUGAGGCUUAACC